AAUGUAUAAUAGAUAUUAGGAUUAGCUCGAGUUUAAUAAAUGUUCACUCGUUGGCUUAAACGUCGUUUUUAUCGAAAUAAACUGGUUGUUUGUAUUGCCCGGGCAAUGGGAAAUACAAUUUAUAAUUUCAAAUUGAACGAGCUCGAGUCGUAUAACAAUAACGUACCGAAAUAAAAAAAAUAAUAUAUAUAUAAUAAUUUGCGG